UACGAAGGGGGCUAGCGUUGUUCGGAUUUACUGGGCGUAAAGCGCACGUAGGCGGUUUGUUAAGUCAGGGGUGAAAUCCCAGAGCUCAACUCUGGAACUGCCUUUGAUACUGGCAAGCUAGAGUCCGGAAGAGGUAAGUGGAACUCCUAGUGUAGAGGUGGAAUUCGUAGAUAUUAGGAAGAACACCAGUGGCGAAGGCGGCUCACUGGCCCGAUACUGACGCUGAGGCACGAAAGCGUGGGGAGCAAACAGG
rnacentral:rRNA from 1 species